CACGUAGGGGGCGAGCGUUGUCCGGAUUUAUUGGGCGUAAAGAGCUCGUAGGCGGCUCGGUAAGUGAGGUGUGAAAACUCCAGGCUCAACCUGGAGACGCCACCUCAUACUGCCGUGGCUAGAGUCCGGUAGGGGAGCAUGGAAUUCCCAGUGUAGCGGUGAAAUGCGUAGAUAUUGGGAGGAACACCAGUGGCGAAGGCGGCUACCUGGACCGGUUCUGACGCUGAUGCGCGAAAGCGUGGGUAGCAAACAGG
rnacentral:rRNA from 1 species